rnacentral:lncRNA from 1 species
UCGACGACCUCUAGAUCAAAAGGUCCUUCAAAAUUGCUACUAGUGGAUGGAAGGGACUUUGGGAGAGGGUCUACUAAGUGAGAUUAGUUGGUUUUUGCCUAUGUUGCACUUGCAGUAAGAGAAGUGUCAACGAACCGGGCGGCUAAACACGGCACGGGCAUGGCCCAUUGAAGUAAGGCCCGACAUGACAUGAUUCGUAUCUUUGGACCAUAUUGAAACGAGAUAAUUAAGUCUAAUAGGCCAGCCCGUGGCUCGUUGCGGGCUGUACUGGUCCAAAAUCUUAUAGGCUUACCCAUUUAAAACUCAUUUAUUAAAUUUUAUUUGUUUUCGUGAAAAAUAAUACAUAAUGUUAUUUUAUUCCAGUCUUUUUUUUCUUUAAAAAUAUAUAUUAAAAAUUAAUAUUUUCUUUAUAUAUAAAAUAAUAAUUUAUUUUAUUUUAUUUUUUAUUUUAAGUUCAAUUUUUAAAACCCAAACAAUAAUCUAGUCAUUUUCUAUUUAAAUAUACUUUAAAUAAAGUUAUUAACCUCUUUUUCUUAACAAAUAAUAAAUAUUAUUAGCAUAUACAUUAUUGUUAAAAAGAUUUAAAUGAAGUACUAAAAAAAAAAAAAAAGCAAUACAUAAGUCAAAUUUGGUGUGAGCCCAUAUCGGCCAGUUUAGUGGCUUGGCACGGACAUAGCCCUAGUUCAUAUGGACUCGGGCAGGGAUUGAUGAUUUUCCUAAAUAGGCGGGUACGGCAUGACCCAUUAACUAAAUGGGCUGAUUCUAAACAAGCCGAAUUGACUCGACAUGCCCUGUUUGACACCUCUAAGUACGACCCUUGAUACGGUUAAUAAAAUAAUAUAUUUAUUAAUUUUUAUGAAUUAUUAUUGAAUUAAUAUAGUAAUUCUAUUAGGUUUCGUCAUUAGCCAGAUCGAGGUUUGAAAUGGAUCGAUCCGAGCCCGUCUAUAGGGCUAGGGCUAAGUGGGCUUUUUGGGUCGAGCCAUCCAGGGCCGCCCAUUGCCUUUUUUUUUUUUGGCCUUAUAUUGCCUUACGUUUUUUCCAUUCCAAACAUUUAAGUAAAUGUCUUGUCUUUUUACUUUAAUUUGUUUUUAUAUUACUCCAUUUACUUAAGGUUACAAUGUAAAUAAGGAAGUAUCCCCCAUUUGGAUUCAAUUAAAAAUACUAGAAAAUCAAAUUCCCAAAAAAU